AUUGAACGCUGGCUGCAGGCUUAACACAUGCAAGUCGAGCGGAAACGAUGAUAGCUUGCUAUCAGGCGUCGAGCGGCGGACGGGUGAGUAAUACUUAGGAAUCUACCUAGUAGUGGGGGAUAGCUCGGGGAAACUCGAAUUAAUACCGCAUACGACCUACGGGAGAAAGGGGGCAGUUUACUGCUCUCGCUAUUAGAUGAGCCUAAGUCGGAUUAGCUAGAUGGUGGGGUAAAGGCCUACCAUGGCGACGAUCUGUAGCUGGUCUGAGAGGAUGAUCAGCCACACCGGGACUGAGACACGGCCCGGACUCCUACGGGAGGCAGCAGUGGGGAAUAUUGGACAAUGGGGGAAACCCUGAUCCAGCCAUGCCGCGUGUGUGAAGAAGGCCUUUUGGUUGUAAAGCACUUUAAGCAGUGAAGAAGACUCUGUGGUUAAUACCCACAGACGAUGACAUUAGCUGCAGAAUAAGCACCGGCUAACCCUGUGCCAGCAGCCGCGGUGAUACAGAGGGUGCAAGCGUUAAUCGGAAUUACUGGGCGUAAAGCGAGCGUAGGUGGCUUGAUAAGUCAGAUGUGAAAUCCCCGGGCUUAACCUGGGAACUGCAUCUGAAACUGUUAGGCUAGAGUAGGUGAGAGGAAGGUAGAAUUCCAGGUGUAGCGGUGAAAUGCGUAGAGAUCUGGAGGAAUACCGAUGGCGAAGGCAGCCUUCUGGCAUCAUACUGACACUGAGGCUCGAAAGCGUGGGUAGCAAACAGGAUUAGAUACCCUGGUAGUCCACGCCGUAAACGAUGUCUACUAGUCGUUGGGUCCCUUGAGGACUUAGUGACGCAGCUAACGCAAUAAGUAGACCGCCUGGGGAGUACGGCCGCAAGGUUAAAACUCAAAUGAAUUGACGGGGGCCCGCACAAGCGGUGGAGCAUGUGGUUUAAUUCGAUGCAACGCGAAGAACCUUACCUGGUCUUGACAUAUCUAGAAUCCUGCAGAGAUGCGGGAGUGCCUUCGGGAAUUAGAAUACAGGUGCUGCAUGGCUGUCGUCAGCUCGUGUCGUGAGAUGUUGGGUUAAGUCCCGCAACGAGCGCAACCCUUGUCCUUAGUUACCAGCGGGUUAAGCCGGGAACUCUAAGGAUACUGCCAGUGACAAACUGGAGGAAGGCGGGGACGACGUCAAGUCAUCAUGGCCCUUACGACCAGGGCUACACACGUGCUACAAUGGUAGGUACAGAGGGCAGCUACACAGCGAUGUGAUGCGAAUCUCAAAAAGCCUAUCGUAGUCCAGAUUGGAGUCUGCAACUCGACUCCAUGAAGUAGGAAUCGCUAGUAAUCGCGGAUCAGAAUGCCGCGGUGAAUACGUUCCCGGGCCU
rnacentral:rRNA from 1 species